rnacentral:rRNA from 1 species
AGUGAACGCUGGCGGUAGGCCUAACACAUGCAAGUCGAACGGCAGCACAGUAAGAGCUUGCUCUUACGGGUGGCGAGUGGCGGACGGGUGAGGAAUACAUCGGAAUCUACUUUUUCGUGGGGGAUAACGUAGGGAAACUUACGCUAAUAUCGCAUACGACCUACGGGUGAAAGCAGGGGAUCUUCGGACCUUGCGCGAUUGAAUGAGCCGAUGUCGGAUUAGCUAGUUGGCGGGGUAAAGGCCCACCAAGGCGACGAUCCGUAGCUGGUCUGAGAGGAUGGUCAGCCACACUGGAACUGAGACACGGUCCAGACUCCUACGGGAGGCAGCAGUGGGGAAUAUUGGACAAUGGGCGCAAGCCUGAUCCAGCCAUACCGCGUGGGUGAAGAAGGCCUUCGGGUUGUAAAGCCCUUUUGUUGGGAAAGAAAAGCAGCAGGUUAAUACCCCGCUGUUCUGACGGUACCCAAAGAAUAAGCACCGGCUAACUUCGUG